AUAGUAUUUUUUGGAAUUGUUUGCAUUAAGAAUGUCAUAAUGAAUUGUGACGAAAUCUGAUUCGAUGAAAUCGAAUUCUAAUUGUAACACCAGACCACUGAUUUUAUCUGGGAAGCUAAAAAUUACCAUUACUCACCAAGAGUCAGUCCUCAUAGAGGAUCUUUUCCAUAAAGUAUGUUUGUUGUUGCAUGCAUCAAUUUCAAGGGAUUAAAGUAUAUUUUACCUACAAGAGAGUCUUCAGCUCUUGAACUCCAGGAUUCUCACCAGUGGCCAACAGUUUCUCAGACCUUAGGUUUUGAAUUGAGUUACGUCAUCAGCUUUCCUGGUUUUAAGGCUUUCAAACAUGGAUUGGCUUCUCUGAUUCUCCAGUUUGCUGACAACCUAUCCUGGGACUUUCCUGCCAUCAUAAGUGAGACCUGUGAAGAAUUCUACCUUCAGACAACUGCUCAACUGGAUUGAAUCUGGGAGAAGAAGAUGGGGGCAUUAUUUCUUGA